rnacentral:misc_RNA from 1 species
CACCUCUCAAGCGUAGCUUGGUCUUGGUCCACGCCCGCGAGGGCCGGUCCGAAAACGAGCGGCGGUCCGGUGGGACUUCAAGCGCAGUAAAUUUCAUCGCUUCAAGAUCCCCUCGGGCCCGCCGGAACCUCUACAUUUCAAU